AGGGUGACGUCACCUGGGGGAGCGGGUCAGACUCGGAGCCCCCGCACCGGGAGCCCUCCGCGCGGCGGCCCCCCCCGUACCGCGGCGCUCCCGCAGCAGCGGGCCCAGGUCGUAAACGCGGCCGAGAGCGCUGAGCCGGAACCGCCCGGCCUCCGCCACCUCCCGCGCCAUGAAGUACCGCGGCCGCCGCUCCGCGCCGCCCGCCGCCAUGGCGGCGCCGCCGGAAAGCCGCACCGUUUCUAUGGCAACGCCGACGCCGGAGCCGAGCGGCCUCUCCUGAUUGGCUGCGUGCGGGCCCCGCCCACCCCGGCCCCGCAGGGCACGCCGGGAAACGCGACCCGCGGCGGCCGCGCGGGGACUGCUGGGAAGCGGUGGCGCCGCGGUGGGGUGCGAGGCUGAGGGGUGUGGGGGGGAACGGCGGUGUGGGGCUCGGGGGUACCCCGGAGGGCUGUGGAGCCGAUAGGAUUUGGGCUGCUGGGGGGCGCCGUGGGGUCCUGGGAGCUGUCGGGGUGCUGUUGGGAUGAUAAGGGGGCCUCGUGGAUUUUGUGGGGAGCCUCUGGGGGGCUGUGGAGGGCUGUAUAGAACUAUAGACGGGCUAUUGAAGCUGUAGGGGGGCUGUGGGACAUAUAGGGGUGCAUAAGUGGGCAUAGGGAACUCUGGGGUCCAUAGGGUCUGUGGGGGAUGGUGUUGCUACAGGGGUCCUUGGAGCUCUAAGGGGGUGUAGAGCAAACAGAGGCGAUGACAGGGCCUGUAUGUGAGAAAUGGGCGCUAUAGGAAAAGAUAUCCCUUUGAUAUUUGCAAAGAUAUUUCCCUUUGGAAAUUAACUCUUCCCUCCCACUGACAGCUUGAAGAAAGACAUGAGCUGAGGAACGCAGCCUUCUGUCCGUACCGGCACUGCAGGAGAAGGGCUGGCAGAAGGGGCACCCGCACAGGCUCAGAUUGCACACAGAAGUGUGCACACAGUGCUCCCAGAAGCAUCAGUUGGGACAGAAAGAGUGGCUCCAGCCCCCCUCCCCCCCCCCAACUCCAGGCAGUCACGUGCUCAUGUUCAGGAGUUCCACUACAGGGGGCUACAGGUGUCUGAAGAAGUUGACAGAACAGAGCGACCAAACUGAAGGAACCACGCAUCUUCCAUACAGGGAUCAGCUAACCUCUGCAAGCUACCAAGAGGAAUCCAGGGUGCACCGACUGAAUCCAAACUGCAUCUCCUGAGCUAGCAGGGGGAUGGCAGGUGAUACGUGCUCUGCACUUCUGCCUGAAGAGCUCAGCCAGGAGGUGGCAGCGCCUCUUGUACAGCACGCGGCCUGCAGGAAAAGAAGAGAUGGAGUUCUGGCAGCAGUUGAUAAUACAACGUUGUCAUAGGUCAUUUUUAAUAAUUGAAAGAACAAUAAAAACUAUGUGUUUUAAUUCAGGAUUAACUUUAAGCCUGUUGUUUAUACAGAGGACAGUCAGCGUACGACCAUCUUCUAUUUGCUGUAUUAGAGAAGUCUCCAUCCAGCAAGAGGUCUCAUGGUUCCUACUGUACAAUGGCAGGGGCAGAGUCCAUUUCAGACUCUAUCAAUACCUCAAAUUACGUCCACAUCCCCAGGAGUCCAGGCUCCUUCCAGGAUCUGGCAAAAUGGCAACAACCCCUUGAUGGAAGCGGGACCUACCACGAGCACAGACCUCCUCUCCGGUUUCUACUCCCCUUAACGCCAGCAAGUCCGCUCACUUUAGAACUGGGGGAUUUGUGUUUUACUCUGGGAACACCCAGCAGCCAACUGACACAGCACUGACACUGCUGAACAAAAGUUCAGUGAGAUGGGUCCUAUUUCUAAGAUCCAAAACACCACUGCGCAUCACUGUGCAUGUGUAAAGCACUCCAAGAGCUGUGCUAUCGUAGCACAUUUUCAAAGCGUAUACCUGCUCUGAAGUAGACUGUAGCUUUGGUUAUGCUCACUGGAACCUACUGAGUUAUUCCAGUUGGCACAGGCAGGACUUCACAAAAUAUCUCUGGCUUUCUAUGGGGAUCGGUUAACUACACCCCAAAGUUAUUCAGCUCUGCACUGUUGAGGAGUUCAGCUGAAAUCCUGGGAAGUAUUUCAAUGCACCCCAUCUUUCUUCUGCUGCUGAAUAAGACAAAAACACCGAAAAAAACCCCACAAAAAAAGUAACCAAAUGCACCAGGAGCAAAACAUCGCCAUUCAUCUCUGUGCUCAGUGACCUCUCACAUUCACAUCGCAGCACCUCUGCUUCACAAAAGAAAACCAAACUGAAAAACAACGAACAAAAACGAAUUACCGGCAGUAAGGAGCGCUGCACACAGUGCCCAUCAGAGCUUUCCCAUCUGUAUUUCUGUUAACAGAUGAGUUUUGCUCCUUCUGAUGACUUUUUAACAACGAUCAGUGAAGACAGCACCAUCACCAAGUUAGUCCAGUUACCCGACUCGCUGAUUUUACAAGACAUUAGAGGCAGCUCAGGUAUUACUGAACAGAAUGAGCUUUGGAGGGCAAAAUCUUGGCUGGAGCUCUGCUGGCAAGAAAAACUUGCACGAUACUGAAUAUCAGCGGCUUGACAGAUACUCCUGUGCACAAGAUGGCCAGCAUCAGCCCAUAUGCCACUGCUGGGCCGCGACAAAGGCAUGCAGCUUUGUCUUUUUCCUGCUCCAUUUCACCAGCUGGGAAAGCCAUGUCCUUGUGCCAUUCUAGAUGUACCAAAACCAGAACAAUGAGACCAGAGUAUAUUUUGUACAAGAAAGAAAUACAGUUCAGGACUAGAAACCACAGAGCUUCUGAAAUCUGCACAGCUGGAUGGGACUGGGAUUUCAGCUGCAGGGGGUUUUCCUAGAAUGGCUAAAUCAUUACAGCACAAAUCCCUUUAUAUAGCAGGGAAGUAAGAGAGAGAAAAACAAGAGAGCUAUGAAGCAGAGGCGCCUUGUAGAGGAGGAUACAACAGCGUUCAAGCUGUCAUCUCCACCCAAUGCACCCCCCAGCCAGCUCACUGCCACUCCCUGAGCAUCUCUUGGCUCCUGGGGCACAGAGCAUGGCACAGGGAGAGAGAAAACCCUCCAUGCCUUCACAGCCCUCGUCAACUUUCCACCCUCAACAACUCAAGCCCUCACAGCAGCAGCACCUUCACCUCAUUCGGAGAGCAAGAAAUCCCAGCCACACAUAACGAAUUGCCACAACAACAGAGGACUGUAUGACACAGCUGCAAGGAAGGUGGAAGAAGAACAGGCACACGGAGCCAUCAACAAAGAAACUCGAGUGUGGCUUAGCACAGGGCCACAAGAACAAGGCAGCACCAAGCACCCAGUCAGUACUCUGCAGGCAGCAUUCUGAGAUGGGAAUGUCACACAUGGACUGCACUUACCUUACCUAGGCAACUUGUAGGCCUUGAUGAGUGGCAGAGGUGCCUGAAGACUGGAGGAAAGCCAGUGUCACUUCAAUCUUCAGAAAGGGCAAGGAGGAGGACCUGGGCAACUACAGGGCAGUCACGCUUACCUCCAUCCCUGGAAAGGAGGUGAAGCAACUUGUUCUGAAUGUCAUCUCCAAGCAAUUGGAAAAGAAAGUUAUCAGGAGUAGUCAGCAUGGAUUUCAGGCUGCCCAAAGAGGCUGUGGGGUCUCCUUCUCUGGAGACAUUCAAAACUUUCCUGGACUCAUUGCUGUGUGACCUAACCUAGAUGUUCCUGCUCUGGCAGGAUGAUUGGACUAGAUGGUCUUUCAAGGUCCCUUCCAAUCACAUAUUCCGUGAUUCUGUGAUUCACCAAGGGGAAAUCAUGCUUGACCAACCUGGCAGUCUUCUAUGCUGUCAUCACCGACUGAGUAGAUGGGGGGAGAGCAGUGGAUGUCAUACACCUUGACUUCAACAAAGCUUUUGACACUGUUUUCCAUAACUUCCUCAUAGGUAAGCUUAGAAGUGUGGGAAAGAUGAGUGAGGUAAACUGGGAACGGAGGUGGAUAGAGCUCAGAGUGUUCUCAUCAGUGGUGAAGAGGUCUAUAGAGUUGGAGGUCUACAGUGAGUGGUGCUCCUCAGGGGUUGGUACUGCGUCCAGUCUUGUUCAGCAUCUUCAUUAAUGCUGCAGUUUGGUGAUUUUUGGUGUCAGUAUUCCACAUCAGGACAUCACAUGAACCAGUGGAAGUUAAAGAGUUAACGUUC